GGCGAGAUGGCCGAGCGGUCCAAGGCGCCAGACUAAGGCACCUUGCUAUCUGGUCCGAAAGGGCGUGGGUUCGAAUCCCACUCUCGUCA